rnacentral:rRNA from 1 species
AGGGAUCAUUACCGAGUUUACAACUCCCAAACCCCUGUGAACAUACCUAUCGUUGCUUCGGCGGGUCUCGCCCCGGCGCCCUCGGGCCCGGACUCAGGCGCCCGCCGGAGGACCUAAACUCUUGUCUUUAUGAGUAUCUUCUGAGUGACACAAGUAAAUAAAUCAAAACUUUCAACAACGGAUCUCUUGGUUCUGGCAUCGAUGAAGAACGCAGCGAAAUGCGAUAAGUAAUGUGAAUUGCAGAAUUCCGUGAAUCAUCGAAUCUUUGAACGCACAUUGCGCCCGCUAGUAUUCUGGCGGGCAUGCCUGUUCGAGCGUCAUUUCAACCCUCAAGCCCCCGGGCUUGGUGUUGGGGUUCGGCCCGCCCCUAGCGGCGCGCCGUCCCCGAAAUCUAGUGGCGGUCUCGCGAUAGCCUCCUCUGCGUAGUAGCAAUAUCUCGCACUGGGACUGAGCAAGGCCACGCCGUUAAACCCCCCACUUCUGAAGGUUGACCUCGGAUCAGGUAGGAAUACCCGCUGAACUUAA